rnacentral:rRNA from 1 species
UACGUAGGCAGCAAGCGUUGUUCGGAAUUACUGGGCGUAAAGAGUGUGUAGGCGGUUGUCUAAGUUUGGUGUGAAAUCUCCCGGCUCAACUGGGAGGGUGCGCCGAAAACUGGAUAGCUGGAGUAUGGGAGAGGAAAGCGGAAUUCCUGGUGUAGCGGUGAAAUGCGUAGAUAUCAGGAGGAACACCUGCGGUGUAGACGGCUUUCUGGACCAUCACUGACGCUGAGACACGAAAGCGUGGGUAGCAAACAGG